rnacentral:piRNA from 1 species
UGUGCAAACCAGGUACAGUAAAUGUAGCAGC